ACGGCGCGGUUCAUAGCACUUCAACCAAACAAUACUUCAUUUCCAACACCAUCUCGUCUAUAUUAAUUAAUGCACAGUAGGGGUCUACUCAUCUUGCAUGUGCCAAAAACUUGAAUAACAUAUUAGUGCUUGGUCUUCUCAUCUUCCAAGGUCUAAGAUUGACCAACUUGGAAGUGAGAAAACACUAGCGGGAUAUGGCCAUUCAAGCAACAUUCAUAGCAGAUCCAGUUCUCAUUUCAAACCCAUCAAGAAUCUCCAUCAGAGGUUGGGAGCAAUGUAUUGGGUCUCUUGUGUUGAAAACGAGGCCUAGGCAUCUGAGGCUUUCAAAUGGAGGCAGAGUCAGAGCAAGAGCUUCUCUGAAUGCUGAUUCGAAAGCGGUUGGCAUUCCUCGUCAGUGGUACAAUGUUGUUGCAGAUCUUUCAGUGAAGCCUCCUCCCCCACUGCAUCCUAAAACAUUUGAACCAGUCAAACCUGAAGAUUUAUCUCCUCUAUUUCCUGAUGAGUUGAUUAGGCAGGAGGCAAGCACUGACAAGUUCAUAGAUAUCCCGGAAGAAGUUCUUGAUAUUUACAGUCUCUGGCGCCCAACUCCAUUGAUCAGAGCAAAGAGGUUGGAAAAGCUUCUCAAUACACCUGCCAGAAUUUACUACAAGUAUGAAGGUGGCAGCCCAGCCGGAUCCCAUAAACCCAACACUGCAGUCCCGCAAGUUUUUUACAAUGCGCAGCAAGGCAUCAAGAAUGUUGUGACAGAAACUGGUGCUGGCCAAUGGGGAAGUUCAUUGGCCUUUGCGUGCAGCUUAUUUGAUCUUGACUGUGAGGUGUGGCAGGUUCGCGCUUCUUAUGAUCAGAAACCAUAUCGUAGAUUAAUGAUGGAGACCUGGGGUGCAAAGGUACACCCAUCUCCAUCAAGCAUUACUGAGACUGGUAGGAGAAUUCUCCAGAUGGAUCCGUCAAGUUCAGGAAGUUUAGGAAUAGCUAUAUCAGAAGCUGUAGAGGUUGCAGCUAAAAAUGCUGACACCAAAUACUGCUUGGGGAGUGUGCUGAAUCAUGUUUUGUUGCAUCAGACAGUCAUAGGUGAGGAGUGCAUAAAACAAAUGGAGGCUAUUGGUGAAACCCCUGAUGUGAUAAUAGGAUGUACUGGUGGAGGGUCCAAUUUUGCAGGACUCAGUUUCCCAUUCAUCCGAGAGAAGCUCAAUGGGAAAAUCAACCCUGUCAUAAAAGCUGUUGAACCUGCAGCAUGUCCUUCACUGACAAAAGGUGUAUACGCAUAUGAUUAUGGAGAUACAGCAGGAAUGACUCCAUUAAUGAAGAUGCACACUCUAGGACAUGACUUCAUUCCUGAUCCUAUUCAUGCUGGUGGAUUGCGCUACCAUGGCAUGGCUCCAUUAAUCUCUCAUGUGUAUGAAUUGGGUUUCAUGGAAGCAAUGGCAAUCCCUCAGAUCGAGUGUUUUCGAGGUGCCAUACAAUUUGCUCGGUCGGAAGGACUGAUACCAGCACCGGAGCCAACUCAUGCAAUCGCUGCUACCAUAAGGGAAGCACUGCAUUGUAAAGAGACUGGAGAGGCAAAGGUUAUUCUCAUGGCAAUGUGCGGACACGGCCAUUUUGACCUGAAAUCUUAUGAGAAGUAUUUGCAAGGAAAGAUGGUUGACUUGUCAUUCGAUGAGGAGAAAAUAAGAACAUCAUUGGACAAAGUUCCUCAGGUGACAAGAAAUUGAGCCAGUACAGGUGGUGCUAUGUAGGAUGCACAUUUUAGAUUAGAAGGAGAAAAUCUUUCUUGUUAGGUGAACAAGAGAUUUUUUGCUAUUAGAUGCUUUUUAUCGAAACUUAGUUGUUGCAAUUAGGCUUUCAAUAAAAUACAAGACUUGGACAACAGCAUUUGCCUUGGUCUGAAGCAGUGGUUCUCUCUUCUGCCACCACAGUAAUCUGUGUUCUUGUCAUAAAACGUAACUCUUUGUUA